CCCUGGCCCUGUGCCGGCCCCGCCUGGCCGGGCCCGGGCGGGGUCUGGGUCUGGCUGGGGAGGGUGAAGUCGGUGAACUCGAACUCGGAGCCCUGCGUGUCGGCGCCGAGCAGCUCGGCCUCCUCGGUGUCCAGGAAGGAUAAAGCCUGGCCUGAAUCAACAUGUUCCAGACCUGCAGCUGCUGGGCUGAAAAGAUGGAGGCUGGAAAACAUCCUUAUCCUGGGAAUAUUGUGCAGCAAAAGGAGGGGAAAAAACAAAUCCAGAGAACACAGGACUCACCACUUCUGCAGAGAGACUGAAUUCAUCUUGUUUUUAAGUAGAAUCAACUGUUCAGAGCAAAGAGCAACGGGGAGAAAGCUUGAAAUAACAUUUGAGGAUGAAAGUGGAACCAGAGGGGAGGGAAAAAAAAAAAAUACUACAAAGCCAGGUGGCUGCUUGCUGCAAACACUUUUUAUUUAUUAAUAAACACAACACACUCCAAACCUUUGGCUGCUUGACAGAAUCCUCAAAAGUCUUGGAAAGGGAUCAAAGUUCUGCUGCUCCGCCGGGUUCCUCUCGCUGUCCCUGCCACAGCUCGGGGAAUAAGGGUGUGGAAAAGCCCCUGGUGUGCCAGCAGCGGUGGGUUUGUCCCCUCACGGUGGCCUUGGGGACGCUUUGGUGCUGCUGUCUGAGGUGCUGAAGCUGCGGAGCCCCCAGCGCGGCCUGCGUGGAGCUGCAGGAGCGGCUGGGAAAGCAAACUCGGGAUUCGCUUUGUACACGUGGAUUUCGGGAUCGUUCUGCUCCAGCGCAACGCUUGGAAGCUCUGGGAGCCACUUGGAAGCUUUUAAGGAUGAAAUGGAUGCAGAGGCAGGCUGCAGAGCUCCCAGGCUGUGGGGUUUUUUUGGUGUUUUGUGUGAGUUUUCUCCCUCAAAGCCGGGCUGCUGCAGAGGAGAGGCUGUGACUCACUGGGCUUUGCCUGCUGUGCAGCCGGUGUGGAAUUUAACCAGGCAAAAACUGGCACGGCUCCCUGCCAACGGCGCUGAGCUCCCCGUUCCCCUGCAGAUCACAAGCAGGAGAGAAGAAAACGUUUAAUUGGGGAUAAAUAUUCCCAGAACAAGUCAUGGGGAUGUGACUCCCUGAAGGAAAAGGAGGAGAAGAUUUUGGCCAAGAUCCAGGGGUUUUGAAUGAAGAAAGUUCUCAGAAAUUAUGGUUCAGAAUCACCAUGUGAAGUUAAAACUCACUCAGAAAAAGCCAAGAGGUUCCUAAAAUCCAAGGAAAAACUGCUGGAAUUCCUGAAUUUAUUCAAGGAGAUCUUUGGGAGGAUCUGUUCCCUGUUAAAGCUGCCUCUGGAAGGAGCAGAGCUGUUCAAAAUCCUCAAUUUCCAAAGGGGCAUCGACAGCUCUUGGGAAAAAAAAUAUAAAAUUAAAAAAAAAAAAAGGAUUUCUCCAAAGCAGAUGUUGUUGGAGCUGAGCUUAAAAACAAAACGUGGAGCUCUUGAUGGGCUCCAAAAUGUCCCUGUUUGUUGGGAUUGCUGGCAGCUUUCCUGGGCAGAUGGAGGGGAUUGUGGAGUAAUGGAAAAUGCAGACUUCCCACAGGGCUGGGGUGUGUGUGGGGCUGCUGAUCCUCCCCAGAAAGAGAGGAAAAGGGGGGAAUUCCAGGUUAUCCCCUGGGAAUUUGUGCAGGUUUUGGUUUCUCCUCAGAUUUUGUGCUGAUGCAGGUUUUUGGUUUUGGGGCAAGGCAGAAGGUUCAGGGUUUGUGU